GACGAACCGUGCGAACGUUAUUCGGAAUCACUGGGCUUAAAGCGCGUGUAGGCGGCCCUGCAAGUCGGAUGUGAAAUCCCACGGCUCAACCGUGGAAGUGCAUUCGAAACUGCAGGGCUAGAGUCCUGGAGAGGAAGGUGGAAUGCUUGGUGUAGAGGUGAAAUUCGUAGAUAUUCGCAAGAACACCAGUGGCGAAGGCGGCUCACUGGCCCGGUACUGACGCUGAGGUGCGAAAGCGUGGGGAGCAAACAGG
rnacentral:rRNA from 1 species